GGGGCUGUAGUUCAGCUGGUUAGAACGCCGGCCUGUCACGUCGGAGGUCGCGAGUUCGAGUCUCGUCAGCCCCGCCU
rnacentral:tRNA from 1 species